AACGAACGCUGGCGGCAUGCCUAACACAUGCAAGUCGAACGAGACCUUCGGGUCUAGCGGCGCACGGGUGCGUAACGCGUGGGAAUCUGCCCUCUGGUUCGGAAUAACUCAGGGAAACUUGAGCUAAUACCGGAUAAUGACUUCGGUCCGAAGAUUUAUCGCCUGAGGAUGAGCCCGCGUCGGAUUAGCUAGUUGGUGAGGUAAAAGCUCACCAAGGCGACGAUCCGUAGCUGGUCUGAGAGGAUGAUCAGCCACACUGGGACUGAGACACGGCCCAGACUCCUACGGGAGGCAGCAGUGGGGAAUAUUGGACAAUGGGCGAAAGCCUGAUCCAGCAAUGCCGCGUGAGUGAUGAAGGCCUUAGGGUUGUAAAGCUCUUUUACCCGGGAUGAUAAUGACAGUACCGGGAGAAUAAGCCCCGGCUAACUCCGUGCCAGCCGCCGCCGUAACAC
rnacentral:rRNA from 1 species